AUUGAACGCUGGCGGCAGGCCUAACACAUGCAAGUCGAGCGAGCGGCGGACGGGUGAGUAAUGUAUGGGGAUCUGCCCGAUAGAGGGGGAUAACUACUGGAAACGGUGGCUAAUACCGCAUACCAUCAGAUGAGCCCAUAUGGGAUUAGCUAGUAGGUGGGGUAAAGGCUCACAUAGGCGACGAUCCCUAGCUGGUCUGAGAGGAUGACCAGCCCCACUGGGUCUGAGACACUGUCCAGACUCCUACGGGAGGCAGCAGUGGGUAAUAUUGCAGCAUGGGCGCAAGCCUGAUGCCGCCAUGCCGCGUGUAUGAAGGAGGCCUUAGGGUUGUAAAGUACUUUCAGCGGGGAGGCGUUACCCGCAGAAGAAGCACCGGCUAACGCCGUGCCAGCAGCCGCGGUAAUUC
rnacentral:rRNA from 1 species